UCCUUAAUAGCUCAGUGGUAGAGCAAUCGGCUGUUAACCGAUCGGUCGUAGGUUCGAAUCCUACUUAAGGAG
rnacentral:tRNA from 2 species